GGAAGCGUGGCCGAGUGGUUGAAGGCACCAGUCUUGAAAACUGGCAUACGGGCAACCGUAUCGUGGGUUCGAAUCCCACCGCUUCCGCCA
rnacentral:tRNA from 1 species